rnacentral:rRNA from 1 species
GAGUUUGAUCCUGGCUCAGAGUGAACGCUGGCGGCGUGCCUAAUACAUGCAAGUCGAACGGAGAUUAAAGUAAGCUUGCUUAUUUUAAUCUUAGUGGCGCACGGGUGAGUAAUGUAUAGCUAAUCUGCCCUGCACUAGAGGACAACAGUUGGAAACGACUGCUAAUACUCUAUACUCCUUCUUUACAUAAGUUAAGUCGGGAAAGUUUUUCGGUGUAGGAUGAGGCUAUAUCGUAUCAGCUAGUUGGUGAGGUAACGGCUCACCAAGGCUAUGACGCGUAACUGGUCUGAGAGGAUGAUCAGUCACACUGGAACUGAGACACGGUCCAGACUCCUACGGGAGGCAGCAGUAGGGAAUAUUGCUCAAUGGGGGAAACCCUGAAGCAGCAACGCCGCGUGGAGGAUGACACUUUUCGGAGCGUAAACUCCUUUUCUUGGGAAAGAAUUAUGACG